GGGUUGUUAGCUCAGUUGGGAGAGCAUCGCCCUUACAAGGCGAAGGUCACUGGUUCAAGUCCAGUACAACCCACCA
rnacentral:tRNA from 1 species